UUUCCCUCUUCUCUCUCUCCUCUCUCGCAAUUCAAAAACCAGAUCUGCAGGUACCUUUCAUCUGACGAUUCAAGAAACCAGAUCUGCGAUUCAAGAAACCAGAUCUGCUCCUUUUCAUCGCGGAAUCGUCAUCAGCUUCUUCCUAAGGUUUUGCAGGUGGAGGAAUCGAUUCCUUCCAGAAAUCGAUGAACCCUAAAGCAUAAAAUUUAGGGCUUAUUACACAGGGCUUAUUACAACAGGUGAAAUCUCGCGCUCGAUUUAUAAAGCUGAGGAGGACCCCGCAGUCAUUUGGGACAUCUAAAGAGGAAGGAUAUAGAGGAGUUAGACCAUGAACUUGAUAUUGAACUCAUUGUUCAAUGGAUGAUGCUGGCACACAAGUUCUUGGAGAAGUCCGCGCAGUCUGAUAUUUACUUGAAGAAACAGAAUACAAAGAAAUCAUGGUGGUUAUUUGGAUGGUAAUACCUUUACCUUUUU